rnacentral:rRNA from 1 species
GGGAGAAAACUAAGGUCUGCCGCAUGGUGUGUUCCGAAGUUCCCUCCCAUCCUUCUGUUAACGAUUCUUGGUAUUCACUUACUGGUUUCGGGCUCAGAUAUUUUACCUUGAGAAAAUUAGAGUGUUUCAGGCAGGCUCGCGCCGGAAUACAUUAGCAUGGAAUAAUAGAAUAGGACGUUUGACUCCUUUGUUGGUUUGAGGGUCUGACGUA